UGAUCCCGUUGUUUCAGGUGGCGGGUUAAUCAAAUCCAGGUGUGUGGAAACGGGCAACAGAAGAAACAAAUGUAAGCAACGGACAACUACAACAACCGAAGCGAAUUCAAGUGAGGUGAGACGGUGGAAGUACAGCGUAACAGUUCUGGGGCUAAUAUUGAGGUUAGCUCUGCAAAGGACAGCCGUUCCCAAAGAAGAAAUCAACUCACCUGCCCGGACGGGAGCUCUAUUGCUGCACCCUCAAGAAAGCGACUUUUCCAGGAUGAGAUUGAGCUAUGAACUACGGUGUGCCAGCUCUUGCCAUGGAAAUUAUACUGUGUACACUUCUGAGCAGAGGAGGGCCAAACACAACACCAGGUUCAAGGAAGCACGUCAAAGGGAAGGUCCUGAGAUGAGGCGAACAAGGCUCAGAAUCGAUAUUGAGAGAGGAGAAAAAUAUGGGAUUCCCACAGCUGAGGAUGCAACACAAGUAACAUCUGGUGGGGUCAUCUCAACCUGUUGUGCAGCUUCCAGUUUGUUCUCUCACUGCUGUGUUUCGCAGCAUAACAACUUCUACUGUAAACCCAAU